UACGAAUCGUCCAAACGUUGUUCGGAUUCACUGGGUUUAAAGGGCGCGUAGGCGGUGCGUUAAGUCGGCGGUGAAAUACUUCGGCUCAACCGGAGAAUUGCCGCUGAAACUAGCGUGCUCGAGGGAGGUAGAGGUGCGUGGAACUUCCGGUGGAGCGGUGAAAUGCGUUGAUAUCGGAAGGAACACCUGUGGCGAAAGCGAUGCACUGGACCUCUUCUGACGCUGAGGCGCGAAAGCCAGGGUAGCGAACGGG
rnacentral:rRNA from 1 species